rnacentral:lncRNA from 1 species
GGGCAGUGGAGGGUUCUAGAGGUGAGAGGGCUCCAUGCCACCCUUGGCACACGGAUUUACCUCGGCAGCAGGGAGGACAUUGCUCUCACCCAGCCUUGACCCUGGAAGGGUCUUCUCUCUUCCUAGGCAAGAGAGGCUGUUUCUUGCAUCGGAAGGAAUCAACAAAGACCACUCAAAGGAGCACAAGGAAAAGCAAUUUAUCCAGAGCUUGCCAUAGCAGGGGAGCUGGCCACCAUCACUGGCAUUUGGCAGAGACUCAAAGACAGG